CAGUGCCGCGGUAAUACGAAGGGGGCUAGCGUUGCUCGGAAUGACUGGGCGUAAAGGGCGCGUAGGCGGAUUGUUUAGUUAGGCGUGAAAUUCCUGGGCUUAACCUGGGGACUGCGCCUAAUACAGGCAGUCUAGAGUGAGGAAGAGGGUUGUGGAAUUCCCAGUGUAGAGGUGAAAUUCGUAGAUAUUGGGAAGAACACCGGUGGCGAAGGCGGCAACCUGGUCCUUGACUGACGCUGAGGCGCGAAAGCGUGGGGAGCAAACAGGAUUAGAGACCCCAGUAGUCCCUGUCUCUUAUACA
rnacentral:rRNA from 1 species